GCAGAAGUGGUGAAACGGCAGACACGCUGUCUUCAGGUGGCAGUGCACACACGUGCGUGAGGGUUCAAAUCCCUUCUUCUGCA
rnacentral:tRNA from 1 species